AGAGUUUGAUCCUGGCUCAGAAUCAACGCUGGCGGCGUGCCUAACACAUGCAAGUCGAACGAGAAAGUGGAGCAAUCCAUGAGUAAAGUGGCGACCGGGUGAGUAACACGUGACUAACCUGCCCUCGAGUGGGGGAUAACCCCGGGAAACCGGGGCUAAUACCGCAUAACAUCGCAAGAUCAAAGUAGCAAUACGCUUGAGGAGGGGGUCGCGGCUGAUUAGCUAGUUGGUAGGGUAAUGGCCUACCAAGGCUGAGAUCGGUAUCCGGCCUGAGAGGGCGCACGGACACACUGGAACUGAAACACGGUCCAGACUCCUACGGGAGGCAGCAGUGGGGAAUUUUGCGCAAUGGGGGAAACCCUGACGCAGCAACGCCGCGUGGAGGAUGAAGUCCUUUUGGGACGUAAACUCCUUUCGACCCGGACGAUACUGACGGUACGGGUGGAAGAAGCACCGGCUAACUCUGUGCCCAGGCAGCCGCGGUUAACUACAGAGCGGUGCGAGCCGUUGUUCGGGAAUUAUUCGGGGACGUUAAAAGGGGCGC
rnacentral:rRNA from 1 species